AUGCACGCUGGCUACAGGCUUAACACAUGCCAGUCGAGGGGAAACGACGGGGAAGCUUGCUUCCCCGGGCGUCGACCGGCGCACGGGUGAGUAACGCGUAUCCAACCUGCCUCUGACUGAGGGAUAACCCGUCGAAAGUCGGCCUAAUACCUCAUGGUAUCGUCUGCGGGCAUCCAACGACGAUUAAAGAUUUCAUCGGUCAGGGAUGGGGAUGCGUCUGAUUAGCUUGUUGGCGGGGUAACGGCCCACCAAGGCUACGAUCAGUAGGGGUUCUGAGAGGAAGGUCCCCCACAUUGGAACUGAGACACGGUCCAAACGCCUACGGGAGGCAGCAGUGAGGAAUAGUGGUCAAUGGGCGAGAGCCUGAACCAGCCAAGUAGCGUGCAGGAAGACGGCCCUAUGGGUUGUAAACUGCUUUUAGGCGGGGAUAAAGUGAGGGACGGGUCCCUCAUUGCAGGUACCGCAUGAAUAAGGACCGGCUAAUUCCGUG
rnacentral:rRNA from 1 species